rnacentral:rRNA from 1 species
ACGAACGCUGGCGGCGUGCUUAACACCUGCAAGUCGAACGGAAAGGCCCUGCUUUUGUGGGGUGCUCGAGUGGCGAACGGGUGAGUAACACGUGAGUAACCUGCCCUUGACUUUGGGAUAACUUCAGGAAACUGGGGCUAAUACCGGCUAGGAGCUCCUGCUGCCUGGUGGGGGUUGGAAAGUUUCGGCGGUUGGGGAUGGACUCGCGGCUUAUCAGCUUGUUGGUGGGGUAGUGGCUUACCAAGGCUUUGACGGGUAGCCGGCCUGAGAGGGUGACCGGCCACAUUGGGACUGAGAUACGGACCAGACUCCUACGGGAGGCAGCAGUGGGGAAUAUUGCACAAUGGGCGGAAGCCUGAUGCAGCAACGCCGCGUGCGGGAUGACGGCCUUCGGGUUGUAAACCGCUUUCGCCUGUGACGAAGCGUGAGUGACGGUAAUGGGUAAAGAAGCACCGGCUAACUACGUG